rnacentral:rRNA from 1 species
GACGAACGCUGGCGGCGUGCUUAACACAUGCAAGUCGAACGGAAAGGCCCUGCUUUUGUGGGGUGCUCGAGUGGCGAACGGGUGAGUAACACGUGAGUAACCUGCCCUUGACUUUGGGAUAACUUCAGGAAACUGGGGCUAAUACCGGAUAGGAGCUCCUGCUGCAUGGUGGGGGUUGGAAAGUUUCGGCGGUUGGGGAUGGACUCGCGGCUUAUCAGCUUGUUGGUGGGGUAGUGGCUUACCAAGGCUUUGACGGGUAGCCGGCCUGAGAGGGUGACCGGCCACAUGGGGAGUGAGAUACGGCCCAGACUCCUACGGGAGGCAGGAGUGGGGAAUAUUGCAUAAUGGGCGGAAGCCUGAUGCAGCAACGCCGGGUGCGGGAUGACGGCCUUCGGGUUGUAAACCGCUUUCGCCUGUGACGAAGCGUGAGUGACGGUAAUGGGGAAAGAAGCACCGGCGAACUACGU